GAUGAACGCUGGCGGCGCGCCUAACACAUGCAAGUCGAACGGAGUGGCGAACGGCUGAGUAACACGUGGGCAACCUGUCCUCCUCUUGGGGAUAGCCUCGGGAAACCGGGAUCAUAUCCGAUAGAGAAGGAUGGCCCGGGGCCUGUUAGCUUGUCGGUGGGGUAGUGGCCUACCUAGGCAAUGAUGGGUAGCUGGGUUGAGAGACCGACCAGCCGGAUUGGUACUGAGGCACGGCCCAGACGGCUACGGGAGGCAGCAGUGGGGAAUCUUGCACAAUGGGCGAAAGCCUGAUGCAGCGGCGCCGCGUGCGGGAAGAAAGCCUGCGGGUUGUAAACCGCGUUCAGCAGGGACGCGGUACCUGCAGAAGAAGCCCCGGCUAACUACGUGCCAGCAGCCGCGGGAAUUC
rnacentral:rRNA from 1 species